GAAUCCACAGAAAUACAGAUGCAAAAGCAGGACAUGGAUAAAUGAGAGAAGAUAUGGUAUUGCUCCUACAAGUAGAACAUUCUGUCUUCGAGAUAGAUAUCCAGUGAUGCCAGGGCUACUGAAGAAUGUCCUUGUGCUAAAAAUAGUACCUAUUCUUUCCCAUGCCCUCUGUCCCCUUUCAGCUUUCACUUCACAUGAUUCAGCUCCAAGAGAGGGGCACUGACCUCGUCUCACCAAGAAUAUCAAACAUCUCCACUGCUUUGAUGAACUUUUUGGUCAUAACACUGAGGCUUCCUGGUAAACAAACCAGAUCUACUGUGCUACAGAGUGAACUGAACCAGGUUUUCAAGCAACCGUCUUUGUGGACAGGGAACUCACUAAAACAAACCCUGCGAGCAAGCCAAAGAAGGAAAACUACAGGACCUCCAGGGGAUCUUCACGAAUGUGUUCAAGCUGAUAGGGUAGGAUUAAUCGGAGAAAACAAGUCCUUGGGUCCUGUUUUGCAUCCACCCCACACUCUUACCAGGCCACACAACUUGCUAAAGUAGACAUCUGCAGGCCAACAUCCAUUGGAGAAAAGCAAAGGAUGGGAUGGGAUGGGAUGGGAUGGGAUGGGAUGGGAUGGGAUGGGAUGGGAUGGGAUGAAAGAAUGGAGGAACUGAUUUAUCAGGCAAGAGCAGGCCAGAUGCACAAAGAAGGUAAAAGGAGACUUAUAGCCAUCAUUUGCCCUGGUCCCUGUGACAUAGAGAAAUUACGUUCACACAGCUGAGCAGCCCCUUCCCUUAUUGUGAUCAACACACCAGGCUGGUCAGCUAGAUGACACAAAGGUGAACUGUAAUAGCCAAUGCUCUAUUACAGCCUUUAAGAAUGACAGAUUUUAAUUUGGUAU